rnacentral:misc_RNA from 1 species
UUUCGAAUUGGGGAUAUGAAUGCAGCGCAGCGGACGAUGUUAUGGUGUUGCAGUAAAAUUAAAUAGUGUGGCGCUGUUUAGUGUACAAGUUGUAAUCAACGAGUGUUCAUGUAUCUACUGAAGAGGUUGGCGGGUUUUGCUGAGAUGUCGCGUCAAUGGGCAAAAAUAGGAAACAAGUUGGAGGCGUUUGGUGGUGGAGUCGCACUGGAGGGGAAGCCCAUGCAGACGCUGACGGUUGUAUGACACCUGCUGUAAGCAAGUCAUCUAGAUUUCCGCCUUGCGGCAACGACACAUUUUGUCUCUCUGGUUGUUUAAAAAAAAAAAACCUGACGAUGUUUUCCGACGAGAUCCGUACAGAGGAGCAAAUUAAUCACCUCAAUCGUCAUGAGUACACUCGCACUGGCCGCACGUUUGUGGAGCCCUUUAUGGAACCAUAUUGGUGGUGGCCCGUGGCCGACUUGGUUCCAAGGACCAUCAAUGCUAACGUUAUAUCAGUCUUUGGUGUGAUUCUUAACAUCAUCAGCACAGUGGUACUCAUGUACUAUGCUCCGACUGCAACUGAAGAGGCUCCACGCUGGGCGUACUCACUGGCUGGCGUGAACAUCUUUCUCUUCCAAACCUGCGACUCUGUGGACGGGCGGCAGUGUUUGAGGUACAAGACAAAGCUGAAUUGGCAUCUGCAGCUUGCUGAACUAUUCGACCAUGCUUGCGACUCGAUCACCAAAGUGUGUGUCACCAUUGAAUUUGGUAUCUGCAUGAAGAUAGGCGGUCGGCCAGAACUCUUUGUACCGUUUAUGCUGACGGCAAUGUUCAUGUUUUUCACGGCACACUGGCAGACCUACAUCUCUGGAUUGGUGCGAUUUACCACGCAUUUGCGUUGGAGUGGAGGGAGCUGAUAAUAAUUGCAACAGCGAUGUCGAGCAUUUUAAAGUUUUUCAACCAAGCUGCCUUUGUUUGGGGACGGGGCCACCGUGUCACAGUUGCUGUGUAAGUGCUCAGUCUAGCAGCUUUCCGAGUUAGAGCCUGCAAACUACGAAAGAAUACAGUACUUCUAGAGGUACACUCUUAUCUUGUUAGGGAUUAUAAAGCCACUGUUUGGACAAAGGAUUAAGAUAGAUUAGAGGGCUGGCCAGUUUACAGUUUGAUUGACUGUUUUCCCUCAGAAGUUUCUAGCGGAGGUUACCCGCAAUUCUACAAAUUGGUUAUUU